UACGUAGGCACCAAGCGUUGUCCGGAUUUAUUGGGCGUAAAGAGCUCGUAGGCGGUUCGGUAAGUCGGAUGUGAAAACUUUGGGCUCAACCCAAAGCGUGCAUUCGAUACUGCCGUGACUAGAGUUCGGUAGGGGAGUGGGGAAUUCCUAGUGUAGCGGUGAAAUGCGCAGAUAUUAGGAGGAACACCGGUGGCGAAGGCGCCACUCUGGGCCGAAACUGACGCUGAGGAGCGAAAGCGUGGGUAGCAAACAGG
rnacentral:rRNA from 1 species